rnacentral:rRNA from 1 species
UACAUAGGGUGCGAGCGUUGUCCGGAAUUAUUGGGCGUAAAGGGCUCGUAGGCGGCCAACUAAGUCAUACGUGAAAUCCCUCAGCUUAACUGGGGAACUGCGUGUGAUACUGGAUGGCUUGGAUUUGGGAGAGGGAUGCGGAAUUCCAGGUGUAGCGGUGAAAUGCGUAGAUAUCUGGAGGAACACCGGUGGCGAAGGCGGCAUCCUGGACCAAUAUUGACGCUGAGGAGCGAAAGCCAGGGGAGCAAACGGG